AUUGAACGCUGGCGGCAGGCCUAACACAUGCAAGUAGAGCCAGCGGCGGCCGGGUGAGUAAUGUCUGGGAAACUGGCUGAUGGAGGGGGAUAACUACUGGAAACGGUAGCUAAUACCGCAUACCAUCAGAUGGUCCCAGGUGGGAUUAGCUAGUAGGGUGGGUAACGGCUCACCUAGGCGACGAUCCCUAGCUGGUCUGAGAGUAUGACCAGCCACACGGGAACUGAGACACGGUCCAGACUCCUGCGGGAGGCAGCAGUGGGGAAUAUUGCACAAUGGGGGCAAGCCUGAUGCAGCCAUGCCGCGUGGGUGAAGAAGGCCUUCGGGUUGUAAAGCACUUUCAGCGGGGAGGCGUUACCCGCAGAAGAAGCACCGGCUAACUCCGUGCCAGCAGCCGCGGUAAUAC
rnacentral:rRNA from 1 species